GGACCCAGAGGGAGCGGAGCACGCGCCUUCGGGAAUCUUAGGUGCGCAAAGUCUGUUCGCCGCCGGGGUCUAUCACCCCCGCCCCUCGCCUCUGCCCGUGCGCGUCAGCUGGCUUUGCUUUUUCAGAGGAAACAGAGACUCUCAGACAUGAAUACUGUGACACUGACCACCAGGCCAACUUAACAUCAGCAGAUAUCCUGUCUCAGAUGAAGAGAUGGAGUCUCGCACUGUUGCCCAGGCUGGAGUGUAAUGGUGCGAUCUUGGCUCACUGCAAGCUCCACCUCCCGGGUUCAUGCCAUUCUCCUGCCUCAGCCUCCUGAGUAGCUGGAACUACAGAAUGGCCUGUCCAGAAGACAGCCAAAUACAUCCUUCAAAUAGACUUCACUGCAGGAGACAGAGUGGAUUCAUCCCGUAUUCUCCACAUGGACUUCCAUCUUCAUGAGUACUCCAAGAAGGUGGUUCAGUUGACUAUUGCAAAGUCUCAGGUAUGUCUUUAUCAGCAGCAUGAAAACGGACUAAUAGUACCAGUAGAGUGGGGCAUUGCUGAAAAGAUACCCGAAAAUGUGGAAGCAACUUUGGAACUGGGUGUUGAAAUAAUCUGGAGGGCUCAGAAGAAGAUAGGAAAAUGUGGGAAAGUUUGGAACCUCCUAGAGACUUGUGAAUGGCAUUGACAAAAAUACUGAUAGUGAUAUGAACAAUAAGGUCCAGGCUGAGGUGGUCUCAGAUGGAGAUGAAGACCUUGUUGGGAACUGGAGUAAAGGUGACGCUUGUUAUGUUUUAGCAAGGAGACUGGCAGCAUUUCACCCCUGCCCUAGAGAUUUGUGGAACUUUAAGCUUGAGAGAGAUGAUUUAGGGUAUCUGGUGG
rnacentral:antisense_RNA from 1 species